rnacentral:rRNA from 1 species
AUUGAACGCUGGCGGCAUGCUUUACACAUGCAAGUCGAACGGCAGCGCGGGCUUCGGCCUGGCGGCGAGUGGGGAACGGGUGAGUAAUACAUCGGAACGUGCCCAGUAGUGGGGGAUAGCUCGGCGAAAGCCGGAUUAAUACCGCAUACGACCUGAGGGUGAAAGCGGGGGAUCUUCGGACCUCGCGCUAUUGGAGCGGCCGAUGGCAGAUUAGCUAGUUGGUGGGGUAAAGGCCUACCAAGGCGACGAUCUGUAGCUGGUCUGAGAGGACGACCAGCCACACUGGGACUGAGACACGGCCCAGACUCCUACGGGAGGCAGCAGUGGGGAAUUUUGGACAAUGGGCGAAAGCCUGAUCCAGCAAUGCCGCGUGUGUGAUGAAGGCCUUCGGGUUGUAAAGCACUUUUGGCGGGAACGAAAAGGACUGUGCCAAUACCACGGUUCGAUGACGGUACCCGCAGAAUAAGCACCGGCUAACUACGUG